CCUGAUAAUGAAGUCACAUGGGGCCAGGAGUUGGGUGACUUUGUCCUGAGCCACAGAGUUCACAAGGUCUCCAUGACAAAGGCUCUGCCAACAUGGAAAACAUCUGUAGAACCAACAGCUCGAGGAAUGGAUUGACCAUCGAGGCUCAUUGGGUGUAUUUCCAGUCAAAAUCAGUGCCUCAGGCCUUGGCCCCAGGAGGUCUGCAAUGAGAGCCAGGUGGAGUCAGUGGCCUGCCAGGACUCUGAGUGUUGUCUUGGCCAUUCCUCUUCUCGUGGCUGGGACACGGUGGGGAUCUGGUCCCUGAAACCUGCUGUGCGGACUGGUCAUUGUGAACUUCCCAGGGUGGCACAGAUGCUGCCUUCCCAGGUGGACAAGAAAAUGACUGCAGUGGCACCCUGCAAGGCCACAUGACUGGUCUGUGACUCUGGCCUGGCCCCAUUUCCAGAAGGUGUUGCCCUAUGGCUGCCCUUGUCUACAAACAGGUAAGGGAAAGAAGCAAUGUGACAUAACAAGGCCAUGAGCGUGGCCUCUAGAUAGUCCAGCUCCUCAGCUUUGAGGCAGCUGAGGCCACGGAGCAGAUGUUUCUGAGGCUGCAAGGCCCCCAGGGCCAAGGGCCUGGGCCCUCCUGAGCCUGUGCCCACCAGGGCUGGCUCCCCUCCUGAGGAAGGUGCUAUGUGUGAGACAUGUCUCUGAGUUGGGGGUCACCCCCACAGCCAGGUUGUGUCCACAGAGAAGCACUGAGACACCAUGGACAGACUGAUUAUCUGCAAACAAUACCCUUCAGAGAUCAAGAAAGUGGACUUUGGAGUAAGUGAGGCUGGCUCUGGUCUGGGCCCCGCUGCUUUCAAGCCGCAUGAUCUUUGACAAAUUGCCAAACCUGCCCAAGACUCGACUUCCUCUUCUGUGAAAUGCAGUACACUGUUCAUCAUAAGGGUUAAAAAAAAAAGAAAAAGAAAAAGAAAUGCAGAUACGACUUAAAUGAAAUGCUUCUGCUCUAGGUGUGGUAUUAAGUGAAAUAAUAGGAUUUUCAAGCUGGCCUCCAGGCAGGGCCCAGGGUUCCAGCUCAGUGGUUAUAAUAUGGACAAACACAUUUUUUCCCCCUUCCAAAAAAAGCGAUUGCAGAUGUUGCCCCUUCUUACUUGAUUUGACCACUCCAGGAUUCUGGCAGACUGUGGCCUUGUGGCUCACACUCCUACCGGUUUUGCUGUAUGUUGGUCCAUGGUGGGAGGCCACACCUGGGCAAGAAGUAGGCCAGCUGUGUGUCAGCAUCUUUCUGGAGACUUGUGACUGGUAACCACAUCUCCCUGGUGGCACAAGUCUGUACCACCCCAGCCAGGUGAGCAUCAGUCAGGAACUGCAGGACCCACAGGCACCGAGAUGAGCAGAUAAGCAUUACUGCACAGGUUUGAGGCUUUCCCAGGACAGUGGGCCGCCUCAGCGCUCUGCCCAGGGAGGCUCAGCAGAAUGCCGGGUUAAAGAAUACAGACACCACCAUUCUUCAACCAGCUGAUUCCGGGCCAUCAAAUGCUGUGUGCAUGUGUGUGCGCAUGCUGACAUCCAUCUGCUCACCAAACAUGGUUCUGUGCUCUCCGGGUACCAGAUUCAUAAAUGAUUCCAAGAGCAUUCCUAGCCUCUCAGAGUGAGAGACUGACUAAUCAAACACCCUAUACAGGGUGGCCAGUGUCGUGCAGAAGCAGUCCCAGGGAGCCCAGCCUGAGGUCAUGUGCACAGGAAGCCAUCCUGCAAGGUCCAUUGACAGGACCUUGGUGGGCAACAUACCAACAGUCUGUUGCCCACCUUGGACCUACCUGGCCAGCACUCACAGGAAAGCAAGCAGCCUGGACUUCUCAACUUCAGGAUCCUGCCUCAAGGGCACACAUGUGAGCUGAGUACUGCAGGAACAGUGUCCACUGUGGCACUGCCCAGGGGAAUGGGGGUAGAGGUGACGCUGUUCCCCGCACCGCCCCCACGCUGCAUAGUUAGAUCCUCCUGUGGGUCAGGAUGGCAGUAGCUCCUAGUGACAUCAAAACGAGGAAGAUGCAGCUUAGUACAGUAGUAGUUGACAGAUGCUGACCUGGCCCAUUCAGAGUCACCGGGUGGCAGAGGUGCCUCAAGGAGGGAACCACAUCUCACCAGGUUCUUUACCUCUACUUGGUAAAGUAAGGGAGGAUUCCUGUUAGUGGAAUCCUAUACUCCACCGGGGUCAAUGUCUUUUCUGGACACCUGACAAGAGGUGUGGAGAGCAGGCUGUGCUCUUCUCGGAGUCUCCCCAGGAUGCACAGGGCAGCAGUUUGUAGGCCACACCUGAACCUUCGUUGCUUCAUUCUGUAAAGCAGUGUAAGCGCUGAGGUGGAAUGACGCCAUGCCUUGUUUGUACAAGUUUUAAAAAAAAAACAAAACAAAACCACCAUCGAUCUGGCACAACCAUAGGCAUAAACUGAUAAUCAGCUAAUAAGAAUGACCUCUCGUGAACUUACCCAAGUAAGCAGAAGCAUAAGAAUACAUGAGUGUAUCAACUCAUAUUGGAAAAAUCAGGCCCAUGAGCUUAUCGAACACACCAGACCACCAGAUUACAUAACCCCCUCACUCAAGACCCCACGAUUGGACACGGUGGCACCUUGACCUUGUUCCCUGGUCACUCAUCAUGAGCCUUACUCAGGAAAAUCACUCUAGCGGCAAACCUCCAAAUCUCUGUCCUUGAGCUUUAGCAGAGUACAAUUUCUUCCGCCCUUGACAAUCAGGGGAGACCCACUCCAAGCUGACAUCUCAAGAUCACUCCAAGCAAACAGUGUGAAACUGCUGCUGUCCAGACCUGGGCCUAGAAUAAGUCUCUGCGCUUUGACAGCUCUACACCCUGAACAGAUUCUUCAGCUGGUUCAUAAUCUUACCUGACCCCCUACAGUGACUCUUCAUAUCUGCUGUCUGCCUUUGCUCUCAGUUCAGCCUUCUGAACCCCUGUGGCUGCCUUUCUAUUACCUAUAUGUAUAUAAUAGUGUAAAGUGUGAGGUGUGUCUUGAGGGUUCCCGAUACUAGAAAUUGAGAUUGGAAUAAAAGACUCUGUAAUCCCUUGGCUGAUGACUAACAGGUGACCACAAGUAUCCAGUGAACUGUCACUGAUGAAAGUGGUGAAGCCUGUGAAUCUAUUGUUAUUCAAUAAAUUCUGACAUUGUGGAAAGACA